CAGGGCAGCUCACGUUGUUGGAGGCCUCGAGCAAUCAGAGGUUUCCUGUAAGGAUGGAGUGACAGGAGAGAUCAGCAUGUUUCAAGUCGAUGAGGAACUCAGAGAAGCUGCAUAGCUUGAAUAGGAUUUUAUUCAUGCUAAAGAUGACAUGAGGAUCCAGCUCAUCUACAAACACUUCAAAAUGAUUCA